rnacentral:rRNA from 1 species
GGCUAGAGUACAGGAAGGGAGAGUGGAAUUCUUGGUGUAGCAGUGAAAUGCGUAGAUAUCAAGAGGAACACCGGAGGCGAAGGCGGCUCUCUGGAAUGAUACUGACGCUGAGGCACGAAAGCUGGGGGAGCAAACAGGAUUAGAUACCCUGGUAGUCCCAGCCCUAAACGGUGUGCACUUGAUGUAGCUAGGUUUGUCCCUAGCUGUGUCGGAGCUAACGCGUUAAGUGCACCGCCUGAGGAGUACGGUCGCAAGGCUAAAACUCAAAGGAAUUGACGGGGGCCCGCACAAGCGGUGGAGCAUGUGGCUUAAUUCGAUGCAACGCGAAGAACCUUACCAGGGCUUGACAUGCAGAGUUCAGGCAUUGAAAGAUGCUGGCCGUAAGGCGAUCUGCACAGGUGCUGCAUGGCUGUCGUCAGCUCGUGCCGUGAGGUGUUGGGUUAAGCCCCGCAACGAGCGCAACCCCUGUGAUUAGUUGCCAUCUUACGAGAGUAGAGGCACUCUAGUCAGACUGCCUGUGACAAGCAGGAGGAAGGUGGGGAUGACGUCAAGUCAGUAUGGUCCUUAUGUCCUGGGCUGCACACGUGCUACAAUGGACAGUACAGUGGGAGGCAAGACCGCGAGGUGGAGCAAAUCCUCAAAACUGUCCUCAGUACAGAUUGAAGUCUGCAACUCGACUUCAUGAAGCCGGAAUCGCUAGUAAAGGCGUAUCAGCUACGGCGCCUUGAAUACGUUCUCGGGCCUUGUACACACCGCCCGUCACAUCAUGAAAGUCGACUGCACCCGAAGUCGCUGGUCCGACACGCAAGUGGGGAAGGUGCCGAAGGAGUGGUUCGUGACUGGGGUGAAGUCGUAACAAGGUAACC